rnacentral:snRNA from 1 species
GCACCGGAUCCCAUCAGAAC